ensembl:snRNA U1 U1 spliceosomal RNA
AAUUUUACCUGGCAGGGGAGAUAACCAUGAUCGCAGAGAUGGUUCUCUCCAGGAGAGGGUUGUCCAUUGUGCUCAGGCCAUUCUGAUUCCUGCGGUUCCCCCAAACGUGGGAAACUCAACCAUGUUC